CAGGUUGAAGGUUGGGUAACACUAACUGGAGGACCGAACCGACUAAUGUUGAAAAAUUAGCGGAUGACUUGUGGCUGGGGGUGAAAGGCCAAUCAAACCGGGAGAUAGCUGGUUCUCCCCGAAAGCUAUUUAGGUAGCGCCUCGUGAAUUCAUCUCCGGGGGUAGAGCACUGUUUCGGCAAGGGGGUCAUCCCGACUUACCAACCCGAUGCAAACUGCGAAUACCGGAGAAUGUUAUCACGGGAGACACACGGCGGGUGCUAACGUCCGUCGUGAAGAGGGAAACAACCCAGACCGCCAGCUAAGGUCCCAAAGUCAUGGUUAAGUGGGAAACGAUGUGGGAAGGCCCAGACAGCCAGGAUGUUGGCUUAGAAGCAGCCAUCAUUUAAAGAAAGCGUAAUAGCUCACUGGUCGAGUCGGCCUGCGCGGAAGAUGUAACGGGGCUAAACCAUGCACCGAAGCUGCGGCAGCGACGCUGAUGCGUUGUUGGGUAGGGGAGCGUUCUGUAAGCCUGCGAAGGUGUGCUGUGAGGCAUGCUGGAGGUAUCAGAAGUGCGAAUGCUGACAUAAGUAACGAUAAAGCGGGUGAAAAGCCCGCUCGCCGGAAGACCAAGGGUUCCUGUCCAACGUUAAUCGGGGCAGGGUGAGUCGACCCCUAAGGCGAGGCCGAAAGGCGUAGUCGAUGGGAAACAGGUUAAUAUUCCUGUACUUGGUGUUACUGCGAAGGGGGGACGGAGAAGGCUAUGUUGGCCGGGCGACGGUUGUCCCGGUUUAAGCGUGUAGGCUGGUUUUCCAGGCAAAUCCGGAAAAUCAAGGCUGAGGCGUGAUGACGAGGCACUACGGUGCUGAAGCAACAAAUGCCCUGCUUCCAGGAAAAGCCUCUAAGCAUCAGGUAACAUCAAAUCGUACCCCAAACCGACACAGGUGGUCAGGUAGAGAAUACCAAGGCGCUUGAGAGAACUCGGGUGAAGGAACUAGGCAAAAUGGUGCCGUAACUUCGGGAGAAGGCACGCUGAUAUGUAGGUGAAGUCCCUCGCGGAUGGAGCUGAAAUCAGUCGAAGAUACCAGCUGGCUGCAACUGUUUAUUAAAAACACAGCACUGUGCAAACACGAAAGUGGACGUAUACGGUGUGACGCCUGCCCGGUGCCGGAAGGUUAAUUGAUGGGGUUAGCCGCAAGGCGAAGCUCUUGAUCGAAGCCCCGGUAAACGGCGGCCGUAACUAUAACGGUCCUAAGGUAGCGAAAUUCCUUGUCGGGUAAGUUCCGACCUGCACGAAUGGCGUAAUGAUGGCCAGGCUGUCUCCACCCGAGACUCAGUGAAAUUGAACUCGCUGUGAAGAUGCAGUGUACCCGCGGCAAGACGGAAAGACCCCGUGAACCUUUACUAUAGCUUGACACUGAACAUUGAGCCUUGAUG
rnacentral:rRNA from 1 species